GACCUCAGAUCAGGCAAGGC
rnacentral:rRNA from 1 species